AUAUCAAUAAGCGGAGGAAUAGAUACCAACAGGGAUUGCCUUAGUAACGGCGAGUGAAGCGGCAACAGCUCAAAUUUGAAAUCUGGCCCUCGGGUCCGAAUUGUAAUUUGUAGAGGAUGAUUUUGGUGCGGUAUCUUCCGAGUUCCUUGGAACAGGACGCCUUAGAGGGUGAGAGCCCCGUACGGUUGAAUGCCUAGCCUCUGUAAAUCUCCUUCGACGAGUCGAGUAGUUUGGGAAUGCUGCUCUAAAUGGGAGGUAAAUUUCUUCUAAAGCUAAAUAUUGGCCAGAGACCGAUAGCGCACAAGUAGAGUGAUCGAAAGAUGAAAAGCACUUUGAAAAGAGGGUUAAAUAGCACGUGAAAUUGUUGAAAGGGAAGGAUUUGUGACCAGACUUUUUCUGGGCGGAUCAUCCGGGGUUCUCUCCGGUGCACUUUGCCCAGUAAAGGCCAGCAUCGAUUUUCGGCGGCGGAUAAAAGCAGUGGGAAUGUGGCUCCCUACGGGGAGUGUUAUAGCCCAUUGUAUAAUACGCUGCUGGGGAUCGAGGUACGCGCUUCUGCAAGGAUGCUGGCGUAAUGGUUAUCAAUCACCCGUCUUGAAACACGGACCAAGGAGUCGAACAUUUAUGCGAGUGUUUGGGUGUUAAACCCUCACGCGUAAUGAAAGUGAACGGAGGUGAGAGCCCGUACGGGUGCAUCAUCGACCGAUCCUGAAGUUUUCGGAUGGAUUUGAGUAAGAGCAUAACUGUUCGGACCCGAAAGAUGGUGAACUAUGCGUGGAUAGGGUGAAGCCAGAGGAAACUCUGGUGGAGGCUCGCAGCGGUUCUGACGUGCAAAUCGAUCGUCAAAUCUGCGCAUGGGGGCGAAAGACUAAUCGAACCAUCUAGUAGCUGGUUACCGC
rnacentral:rRNA from 1 species